GCACAUGCGCGGCAGCUCCCGCUGCUGAAUAGCUGAGAGGCGCACCCGGGCGGCCAGCUGGGCUCGGAGUGCAGCGGGGUUAGGAUGGACGAGGACGUGUUGCACCCUGAAGAGCCUCAUCAUCGCCUGCUCUUGAGGUUCACAGAUGAUACCUUUGAUCCAGAACUUGCAGCAACAAUAGAACAUGAACUUCAUGAGGACAGAGACUUGGGCUUAUUCACCACCAAGUCCCCAGUUCCUAACUCCAGUCCUUUGGAGUUAGAAGCAGGUUGCCCAAAGUUCAUGAUGCAGAAAAACCAUUUUUUCCGAGAUUUAUAGGAUAAGUCCUGUAAUUCCAGAUUGCUUGGCGCCAAUCAGGUACUCAAUAAAUGUUUGUUGAGUGAAUAUGUGAA
rnacentral:lncRNA from 10 species